UGGGGAAUAUUGCACAAUGGGCGCAAGCCUGAUGCAGCAACGCCGCGUGAGGGACGACGGCCUUCGGGUUGUAAACCUCUUUUAGUAGGGAAGAAGCGAAAGUGACGGUACCUGCAGAAAAAGCACCGGCUAACUACGUGCCAGCAGCCGCGGUAAUACGUAGGGUGCAAGCGUUGUCCGGAAUUAUUGGGCGUAAAGAGCUCGUAGGCGGUUUGUCGCGUCUGCUGUGAAAACCCGAGGCUCAACCUCGGGCCUGCAGUGGGUACGGGCAGACUAGAGUGCGGUAGGGGAGAAUGGAAUUCCUGGUGUAGCGGUGGAAUGCGCAGAUAUCAGGAGGAACACCGAUGGCGAAGGCAGUUCUCUGGGCCGUAACUGACGCUGAGGAGCGAAAGCGUGGGGAGCGAACAGGAUUAGAUACCCUGGUAGUCCACGCCGUAAACGUUGGGCGCUAGAUGUGGGGACCAUUCCACGGUUUCCGUGUCGCAGCUAACGCAUUAAGCGCCCCGCCUGGGGAGUACGGCCGCAAGGCUAAAACU
rnacentral:rRNA from 1 species